UACGUAGGGGGCAAGCGUUGUCCGGAAUUACUGGGCGUAAAGCGCACGCAGGCGGUCUCUUAAGUUUGGAGUGACAGUUGGUGGCUUAACUGCCAAAGUGCUUCGAAAACUGAGAGACUUGAGGGCUUCAGAGGGACACGGAAUUCCGGGUGGAGUGGUGAAAUGCGUAGAGAUCCGGAGGAACACCAAAGGCGAAGGCAGUGUCCUGGGGAGUACCUGACGCUCAGGUGCGAAAGCCAGGGGAGCGAACGGG
rnacentral:rRNA from 1 species